rnacentral:rRNA from 1 species
UACAGAGGGUGCGAGCGUUGUUCGGAAUUAUUGGGCGUAAAGGGUGCGUAGGCGGCAUGAUAAGUUAUUGGCGGCAAAUCGAGGCUCAACCUCGUGGAAACUGAUAAUACUGUCUUGCUUGAGUGCAGAAGAGGUUAACGGAACUCCAUGUGGAGCGGUAAAAUGUGUAGAUAUAUGGAAGAACAUCAAUAACGGCGAAGGCAGUUAACUAUUCUGUUACUGACGUUGAGGCACGAAAGCGUGGGGAGCAAAACGG